UACGUAGGGUCCGAGCGUUGUCCGGAAUUAUUGGGCGUAAAGAGCUCGUAGGCGGUUUGUCGCGUCUGCUGUGAAAUCCCGAGGCUCAACCUCGGGCCUGCAGUGGGUACGGGCAGACUGGAGUGCGGUAGGGGAGAAUGGAAUUCCUGGUGUAGCGGUGGAAUGCGCAGAUAUCGGGAGGAACACCAAUGGCGAAGGCAGCUCGCUGGGACGUUACUGACGCUGAGACGCGAAAGCGUGGGGAGCAAACAGG
rnacentral:rRNA from 1 species